GGAUAUAUGAGCUCCAUUGAGCCUGUCCACGUCAGACAAUAAAAUCAGCCAAUAGGAAAACAGCUCUCCGCCACGUCAGAUGCUCACUUCUGUCAUUUGGGCUUCGCGUUUCACCGGCCCGUUAAUGUUCGACGAAGAUGCAGGACGACGAAGACAGGUCCGAAGGACUCAACAGCUUCCGAGAAAUCAACCGAUACUACUACAAACCAGACUCCAGCCGAUGUAGACGCGAUACUGAUCUAGUGCGGAAGACUAAGCCAGAGCAACUCCGCCGCGGCGGCGAAAACCAAGAGGUAUUCUGUAUCCAAGAGGAGCUUCGACUUCGACAAGAACGGCGACACAGACAAAGCCGAUGCGGAAGACGGAGGAGAGGAAGAAGAAGCCGAGCGGCAGAUUCAUCAGCAGCAGCGCGGCGGCGGAGAGUCCCGUCGGACUCUGAGCAGUGUCGGGAGCAGAAGAGACGGACUCCUAGCAGGGAGAGGGAGGACUCGAAGAGCUACCGAUCGGGGAGUAGGGAGAGAGGAAGCGUUAGCAGACGAGGAAGCAGAUCUCCGGAGAGAAGAUCGGAGACGACGAACCCUAAUAACGGCAUUGGCAGUUCUGUAAAUUCGAGUAACAACAACAAUAUACCUGCCAAGUUCGUUUCGGUUCCUGCAACGGAUAAAGAGAAGAGAAGCAGCAACAGCAACGCAGAUGCGUCUAUUAAAAGGGUUGUUGUCAAGAGAAACGUGGCGUCUCCAAGGUCUCAGUCGCCUGCAAGAGCGGCGUCUCCUAGAGCUCAGUCUCCGGCCAGAGUUAUCAACCACUCCUAAAGAAAUCUGCAAAAGUGUCGCCUACACGUGUUCGAACCUGAAGGUGUGGUCCAUAAAAGAGAUUUAGAUAAGUUUUGCAAAGCUCUCAUCUUUUUUAAUUGAGCAGUGAAUCUGGCAUUGUUGUAAUCUUCUUACUCUGAUUCUAUUGAAAAUCAUUUCUUAUACAGAUGUUCUUCGCACCAACACGAGAGAAUUGAUAAAUGGUGUAGCAAAUAAAAGUCUUAUAACAGUUGGCGAGACAAAUCUUAUCUUGAAAAAGACUAUUCACCAUGUUUCUACAAUGCUGAAGAGGGUACCCCUUAAGCCGAGAAAAAAACUAUAAUCUCUUGAUUCCCACGUUAAUGGACAGAUGAACUGGUCAGUGGAACAUAGCCAGCUUGAGCCUAAGACUGAGCUUUGAUAGAGGAACGAAAGUUUCCUACACUUCUGCACCAUUUGGAGAUUAUAUUGCUUCUCCACUACUACUAAAUAUACAUGGUGGUUCAAAGAAGUCUGCUGAAAAUGGGUUUAUGACAGGAGGUGGCUGUAAUAGCUCGAGCAGCAGAGUAGGAAGACAAACCUGGUCCAAGCUGUGGAGUAGAAGUUGUAAUGCGGCUCUGGAGAAAAAUCAGUGUUGGGUAGAUAAGGAAUGUCUUAAACACCUGAAAAGAAGUAAGUCACAAGAUUCAUACACCACAGAAGAAGUAAGACACAAGAGUUGGAAGUGGUGACGACAAUGUAAGAAUGAAACUAAAAGAAUAUUUGUAAUGGGAAGAAUUAAAAAGUUUCUACGGUUUGUGUGUUCCUGAGGAUUCGGUUUGGUGUGUUUUGUUUUCAUUGCCAAAAUGGUGCGCUUAGUAAAAUAAAAAUAUAGAAAUGGAACGAUAAUUUCAA